AAGUCGUAACAAGGUCUCCGUUGGUGAACCAGCGGAGGGAUCAUUAAUGAGUUUUCUAAACUCCAAACCCUUGAGAACUUACCUAGUUGCCUCGGCGGACUUACCCGGGAAGACCUACCCUGUAGCGAGUUACCCUGUAGCGAGUUGCCCUGUAGGGACCUGCCCUGUAGUCUGCCCGCCGACGGCCAACCUAAACUCUGUUUUAUUGUGGCACUUCUGAGGAUUAUUCUAAAUGAAUUAAAACUUUCAACAACGGAUCUCUUGGUUCUG
rnacentral:misc_RNA from 1 species